rnacentral:rRNA from 1 species
GACGUAGGGUGCGAGCGUUGUCCGGAAUCAUUGGGCGUUAAAGAGCGUGUAGGCGGCUCGAUAAGUCUGCUGUGAAAGUCCAGGGCUCAACCCUGGAAUGCCGGUGGAAACUGUCGGGCUUGAGUUCGGAAGAGGCGAGUGGAAUUCCUGGUGUAGCGGUGAAAUGCGCAGAUAUCAGGAGGAACACCGGUGGCGAAGGCGGGUCUCUGGGCCGUAACUGACGCUGAGGAGCGAAAGCGUGGGGAGCGAACAAG